UUAUACGCAGUCCCUUCUAUAUACCCUCUCUUGCCGCCACUCCAUGUCUCGUUCAAAACAUGCACCGUUCCAUCGUCGUUCAAGGUGUAUGUAGCUCUGGUAUUGACUCCAUCUUUGGGCUGAAACCUCGACGGAAACGAAGCUAUUUCGUACCACCGUCCCAUGUAUCUUUUGAUAUCUAACCCCUUCACCACCUCCAUUUCCUUCUUCGCCAUGUUAAUUCCUGACUUAAUUUUGAUUUGCACAGGGGUUACAGUCACCGAGAGGAAAAGAGAUUUGGGGGGGGGACUUAACUUAUGGAGGUUUAGGGUUGUUGAUAAAUAGAUGCAUGGAGGAGAGACGUGGAGGGCUGAUAGCCAAACACAAAUUCAGAACGUGAAAUGUCUAAAAUCCCCUCAAGAAGAUUCUAGGUUUUUC
rnacentral:lncRNA from 1 species